UUCGCAAUGCCCGAAAGGGUGACGAAGCGACGCCGCGUGGGUGAGGAAGGCCUUCGGGUUGUAAAGCCCUGUCAGGAGUUAAGAAAUGUAGGUACGCUAAUAUCGUGCUUAUUUGACAAAGGCUCCAAAGGAAGCCACGGCUAACUCUGUGCCAGCAGCCGCGGUAAUACAGAGGUGGCAAGCGUUGUUCGGAAUUAUUGGGCGUAAAGAGCACGUAGGUGGAUUUGUAAGUCAGAUGUGAAAGCCUUCUGUUCAACGGGAGAAUUGCAUCUGAAACUACAAACCUUGAGUGUAGGAGGGGAGAAUGGAACUUCUGGUGGAGCGGUGAAAUGCGUAGAUAUCAGAAGGAACGCCGGCGGCGAAAGCGAUCCUCUGGCCUAUUACUGACACUCAGUGUGCGAAAGCUAGGGGAGCAAACGGGAUUAGAUACCCCGGUAGUCCUAGCCGUAAACGAUGGGCACUAAGUAGAGGGGUUUU
rnacentral:rRNA from 1 species